rnacentral:rRNA from 1 species
UACGUAGGGUGCAAGCGUUGUCCGGAUUUAUUGGGCGUAAAGAGCGUGUAGGCGGUUAGGUAGGUCCGUUGUGAAAACUCGAGGCUCAACCUCGAGACGCCGAUGGAAACCCCCUAACUAGAGUCCGGAAGAGGAGAGUGGAAUUCCUGGUGUAGCGGUGAAAUGCGCAGAUAUCAGGAAGAACACCCGUGGCUAAGGCGGCUCUCUGGGACGGUACUGACGCUGAGACGCGAAAGCGUGGGGAGCGAACAGG